CUACGGGGGGCACCAGUGAGGAAUAUUGCACAAUGGGGGGAACCCUGAUGCAGCAACGCCGCGUGGAGGAUGACGCAUUUCGGUGUGUAAACUCCUUUUAUAUGUCAAGAAAAUGACGGUAGCAUAUGAAUAAGCACCGGCUAACUCCGUGCCAGCAGCCGCGGUAAUACGGAGGGUGCAAGCGUUACUCGGAAUCACUGGGCGUAAAGGACGCGUAGGCGGGUUGGAAAGUCAGGUGUGAAAUCCUACAGCUUAACUGUAGAACUGCACUUGAAACUUCUAAUCUAGAGUAUGGGGGGGAGAUGGAAUUAGUGGUGUAGGGGUAAAAUCCGUAGAUAUCACUAGGAAUACCUAAAGCGAAGGCGAUCUCCUGGAACAUUACUGACGCUAAGGCGUGAAAGCGUGGGGAGCAAACAGAAUUAGAUACCCGGGUAGUC
rnacentral:rRNA from 1 species